CCUGUGACACAUGGACAGACAGACAGACAGAGCAAAGUGGCAUUAAUAGUGCUCCGUUUUACCAUUUGGGUACGGAACCCUAAAAACGUGUGAUUUAAUA